ensembl:snRNA U6 U6 spliceosomal RNA
GUGCUCACUUUGGCAGCACAUGUAUUAAAAUUGGAACAAUACAGAGAUGACUACCAUGUCCCCUGCACAAGGAUGACUUGCCAAUUCUUAAAGUUUUCCAUAAUUUU